ensembl:lncRNA
GAGAGACAAGCUAGCUGCGAUCAGGUCAGUGCAGAGAGACAAGCUAGCUGCGAUCAGGUCAGUGCAGAGAGACAAGCUAGCUGUGAUCAGGUCAGUGUGGAACAAGUGGGUGGACCGCCUUCUCCUGUUUUACAACCCUGGGCCCAACGUUACUGUAGAUGAGCAGCUUAUGCCAUUUAGGGUCUGCUACCCCUUCAGGCAGUACAUACCGUCCAAACCCGUAAAAUAUGGAAUAAAGAUCUGGGUUGCCCGUGAUGCUGCUUCAUCAUAUGCGUGGAACUUGAAAGUGUAUACAGGGAGAAGAACCAAGCGAUGCGGGUUGUCCAGAACAUGACACAAGGACUAAGUGGCCACAACAUCACAUGCGAUAACUUUUUUACUUUGCUUUGAACCCAGAUUGGAACAGAGGGAAGCUCCAGAGGAGACGACUCUUUCUUGAGGAGCUGGGCAAGGCACUGGUAAGACCUCAAAUCCAGAGGCAGCAACAUAUCCCAAGGACCCCAGCUACUGCUGCCAUCGUGAGGAGGAUUCAGGAGGAGGAUGCUGGUGCCCCAUCCGCCCGACCCACAGAACCAACAACUCCAAUACCGGAGUAUUGCAGCCGGUAGCAACAAGAAGAAGUGUUGCGAUGUGUGUGGACCCAAGAUGGACAGGAAGACACAGUACACAUGGAUCAAGUGCAAGCAAUACAUUUGCAACACACACUCAAUUAAACUCUGUCCCUCAUGUGGUGUGUAGACCGGCCUUAAUUUUUGUUCAAUGGGGCUCAUUUAUCCUUUCCAUAAAAUACUGUAUGUAAAAUGUGCCUUUCCAAUUUGUUCAUUUCAAAGCAAUUAACACCAAUAGUAAUGAAAACCACGUUCAUUUAUAUUUGUUCAAGACUAGACUUGAUUUUUUCCACCCAUGUCUUGAUUAUAAUAGAUUUUUGUUUGUAAAAAAUCUAAUUUUAUCCCAAAAAACGAACAGUGCUUUUAUUGAUAAAUGUGAUCUAGCAGAGGUAAAUGGCAAAUAUUAACCAUGUAUGCUGUCUAUAAUGCUUGUAAUUGAUAUGUCAACAAUAAGUAUUAAGUAUUUUAAUGUAAAUUGUUAUAGCUGUAUUGUGCAGACACCACCACCCAUUGGAUAGCCCUACGGUAGCGGGCAGUGCAGGUACCGUAACAGGCGGUGAUACAGCCCAACAGGAUGCUCUCAAUUGGGCAGCUGUAAAAGUUUGUGAGGGUCUUAGGGGCCAAGCCAAAUUUCUUCAGCCUCCGUCAGUGAUGUGUACGAGGAACUUGAAGCUUUCCACCUUCUCCACUGCUGUCCCGUCAAUGUGGAUAGGGAAGUGCUCCCUCUGCUUUUUCCUGAAGUCCAUGAUCAGCUCCCUCGUUUUGUUGACGUUGUGGGGAGAGGCUAUUUUCCUGGCACCACUCUGCCAGGCCCCUCAUCUCCUCUCUGUAAGCCGUCUCGUCAUUGUUGGUAAUCAAACCUACUAUGGUUGUGUUGUCUGGCCACGCAGUCAUGGGUGAACACAGGAGUACAGGAGGGGGCUGAGCACACACCUUUGUGGAGCCCCAGUGUUGAGGUGUUGUUUCCUACCUUCACCACCUGGGGGCGGCCCGUCAGGAAGUCCAGGACCCAGUUGCACAGGGCGGGGUACAGACCCAGGGCCCGAGCUUGAUGAUGAGUUUGGAGGGUACUAUGGUGUUGAAGGCUGAGCUAUUGUCAAUGAACAGCAUUCUUACAUAGCUAUUCCUCUUGUCCAGAUGGGAAAGGGCAGUGUGCAGUGUGAUGGUGAUUGCAUCGUCUGUGGAUCUAUUGGGGCGGUAAUCAAAUUCAAGUGUGUUUAGGGUGUCAGGUAAGGUGGAGGUGAUAUGAUCCCUAACUUGCCUUUCAAAGCACUUCAUGAUGACAGAAGUGAGUGCUAUGGGAAGAUAGUCAUUCAGUUCAGUUAUCUUUGUGACUUUCUGAAUGCACUUUAUCAAAUCGAAUGUUAUGGGUCACCUUCACAUAUUUAGCAGAUGUUAUUGCGGUUUUAGCUAAAUGCUACACCUGUCAGGUGGAUGGAUUAUCUUGGCAAAGGAGAAAUGCUCACUAACAGGAAUGUAAACUAAUUUUGUGUGUAUGGAACAUUUCUGGGAACUGGGGGGGACCAGGGCUUUACAUGUUGCAUUUUAUAGUUUUGUUCAGUCUCUUGCAUUGCUUUUCAAUUCCUUCCAAAGUACCCAAGUACAUGAACCUGUUUACCUGUCCCCCCUCGUUGCUCCUGCUACAGGACUAUGCUCUUCUCUCUGGUUGUCAGUCAGUUGUGAUAUGGGUGUGGUAGACACUAGGUGGUGGUGUUCUACACAGUGGAGGUGGUGCCUACCUCUAGUCCUCUGUGAAUGCACUGUCUGCUGAAUGUCUACCCACCUUGCCUCAGGUGAUCAAUAUAUUACCAUGGAGAAAUAAAGAGCAACAGAUGCUGUGCCCUCUGAGGAAAGGAUGGAAAUGACAAGGCGGAUAGACACUUGAAUCAAUGGAAGCAGAUUGAUGGUGUUUACAGUGGUGUGAUUGAUUAAGGCGCACCAUAGUGUGCACGUGUGUGUGUGUGUGUGUGUGUGUGUGUUUGUAAAUAUGAGGUGUCGUCAGGGAAUGGCAGAACAAACACUGCUGCAGGGAGAUAAGACCUGUGACGUAACCACUCUGGAUAGAGUUUAACACGGUUAAAUUCCUGCCUGCAGAACACACAUAUACUCACUUACCUUACACCAUACAUAUGCCAUGCACACAAACAAAAUGAGUAGUGGGAUCCACUCUCUAGUGGUUAGAGAGUUGAACUAGUAACCGGAAGGUUGCAAGUUCAAACCCCCGAGCUGACAAGGUACAAAUCUGUCGUUCUGCCCCUGAACAGGCAGUUUACCCACUGUUCCUAGGCCGUCAUUGAAAAUAAGAAUUUGUUCUUAACUGACUUGCCUAGUUAAAUAAAGG